rnacentral:rRNA from 1 species
UGCACCUGAUUGAUUUUGGUCGCCAACGAGUGGCGGACGGGUGAGUAACACGUAGGUAACCUGCCCAGAAGCGGGGGACAACAUUUGGAAACAGAUGCUAAUACCGCAUAACARCGUUGUUCGCAUGAACAACGCUUAAAAGAUGGCUUCUCGCUAUCACUUCUGGAUGGACCUGCGGUGCAUUAGCUUGUUGGUGGGGUAAYGGCCUACCAAGGCGAUGAUGCAUAGCCGAGUUGAGAGACUGAUCGGCCACAAUGGGACUGAGACACGGCCCAUACUCCUACGGGAGGCAGCAGUAGGGAAUCUUCCACAAUGGGCGCAAGCCUGAUGGAGCAACACCGCGUGAGUGAAGAAGGGUUUCGGCUCGUAAAGCUCUGUUGUUAAAGAAGAACACGUAUGAGAGUAACUGUUCAUACGUUGACGGUAUUUAACCAGAAAGUCACGGCUAACUACGUGCCAGCAGCCGCGGUAAUACGUAGGUGGCAAGCGUUAUCCGGAUUUAUUGGGCGUAAAGAGAGUGCAGGCGGUUUUCUAAGUCUGAUGUGAAAGCCUUCGGCUUAACCGGAGAAGUGCAUCGGAAACUGGAUAACUUGAGUGCAGAAGAGGGUAGUGGAACUCCAUGUGUAGCGGUGGAAUGCGUAGAUAUAUGGAAGAACACCAGUGGCGAAGGCGGCUACCUGGUCUGCAACUGACGCUGAGACUCGAAAGCAUGGGUAGCGAACAGGAUUAGAUACCCUGGUAGUCCAUGCCGUAAACGAUGAGUGCUAGGUGUUGGAGGGUUUCCGCCCUUCAGUGCCGGAGCUAACGCAUUAAGCACUCCGCCUGGGGAGUACGACCGCAAGGUUGAAACUCAAAGGAAUUGACGGGGGCCCGCACAAGCGGUGGAGCAUGUGGUUUAAUUCGAAGCUACGCGAAGAACCUUACCAGGUCUUGACAUCUUGCGCCAACCCUAGAGAUAGGGCGUUUCCUUCGGGAACGCAAUGACAGGUGGUGCAUGGU